rnacentral:rRNA from 1 species
GUGAACGCUAGUGAUAUGCUUAACACAUGCAAGUUUAAAUUAAUAUUAAAUAUUAAUAUUAAUAGCGUACGGGUGAAUAAAGCAUAAGAAUAUACUUUAUAUUUUGGAAAAGAAAUCCAGCAAAAUUGUAUUGGAAUAAAAUUAAAUAUAAUUUAAAAAUUAAGGUUGGUAUAAAAUGGGCUUAUGUAGAAUUAGAUAUUGAGUGAGGUAAUGGCUUACUUAGUCAAUGAUUCUUAGCUGAUCUUAGCGGAUGAUCAGCCACAUUGGGACUGAAACAUGGCCCAACCUCUUUUUAGGAGGCAGCAGUGAGGAAUUUUGGACAAUGAACGAAAGUUUGAUCCAGCAAUAUCACGUGAAUGAUGAAGGUUUAUUUUUUUUAUCGUAAAGUUCUUUCAAUGAGGAGGAUAAUGACAUUACUCAUAGAAGAAGUCCUGACCAAUCUCGU